UACGUAGGUUGCAAGCGCUGUCCGGAAUUAUUGGGCGUAAAGCGCGCGCAGGUGGUUCUUUAAGUCUGAUGUGAAAGCCCACGGCUCAACCGUGGAGGGUCAUUGGAAACUGGGGAACUUGAGUGCAGAAGAGGAAAGUGGAAUUCCAAGUGUAGCGGUGAAAUGCGUAGAGAUUUGGAGGAACACCAGUGGCGAAGGCGACUUUCUGGUCUGUAACUGACACUGAGGCGCGAAAGCGUGGGGAGCAAACAGG
rnacentral:rRNA from 1 species